rnacentral:siRNA from 1 species
AUACAUUUUUGCAGCCAUUUUCGC